rnacentral:siRNA from 1 species
AGCAAUCCUAGAUCUCAAAUCGCC